GACGAACGCUGGCGGCGUGCUUAACACAUGCAAGUCGAACGGAAAGGCCCUGCUUUUGUGGGGUGCUCGAGUGGCGAGCGGGUGAGUAACACGUGAGUAACCUGCCCUUGACUUUGGGAUAACUUCAGGAAACUGGGGCUAAUACCGGAUAGGAGCUCCUGCUGCAUGGUGGGGGUUGGAAAGUUUCGGCGGUUGGGGAUGGACUCGCGGCUUAUCAGCUUGUUGGUGGGGUAGUGGCUUACCAAGGCUUUGACGGGUAGCCGGCCUGAGAGGGUGACCGGCCACAUUGGGACUGAGAUACGGCCCAGACUCCUACGGGAGGCAGCAGUGGGGAAUAUUGCACAAUGGGCGGAAGCCUGAUGCGGCAACGCCGCGUGCGGGAUGACGGCCUUCGGGUUGUAAACCGCUUUCGCCUGUGACGAAGCGUGAGUGACGGUAAUGGGUAAAGAAGCACCGGCUAACUACGUG
rnacentral:rRNA from 1 species